UUUAUUUUUAUUUUUUUUUUUUUUUAGCUUUCGAUAAAGGUUACAAUACCCUUUGCAAAACUGUUUCGCUACAAGACCCAAAGCAUAUGUUUGCAGAGCGUGUAUUAAAUAUGAAUCAGAUAUUCGCAGCGAAUUAAUCUGAGCAUUUUCUUCACAUUUUUUUCCGACUCUUUUUUUCGACAGUUUUUUUCUCCUUUUUCUUUUUUCUUUUUUUUUUUAUAUGCCAACGCGAGUUGGCUUUGAUAUUAUUAAGUAUUUACAUAUUAAAAUAUGUACUCGUAUUUAUUCAUGUGGCUGCAGCCGCUGGGAUCCAGACCGCUCAAAAAAAAAAAAAAAAAAAAAAAAUUGUAAAAACGCCCUGAAAAUUCCUUGGCAAGGGUCCGAUCUGGGCAUACAAAAUUUCUUGUAUAUUUUUUUGGGGCUGUUUUGGUCGUUUUCCGACGCAAUUCAAUCAGUGUACGACAUCAACGUAAGCCAACUCCUGGCGCCCUGACAGACAAACAGACUGACAGGCAGACAGGCCGACAGGCGGACAAACGGACAGGUGACAGGCGACAGGCGGGAUUAGUAGGCUGUACUCAACAAAUAAAGUUCAGGGUUUUUUUUUUUUUUUUUUUCAAACAAUUUAACCUGUUUUAAAUAUAUGAAAAUUUGUAGACAGCUGCACGUGUGAAGCACUUUCAUCAAGCCUCAAACACGAUAAGGAAAACUCCAAAUCCAAAUUGAAUGUCAAACCCUUUUCACGUCAUUUCCACGAUUUUCAACGGAAUUUAAUAAGUUGCGCAAAAAAUGCUGCAAAUGAUUCGGGUUUAGCACCAAAAACUUUACGGAUUUUCAUCAAUUCCACUCGUAUGCCUCUAACAUGUGCGCCUAUGUCCUAGGCAGCUGGCCUAUACGAGCAGUAUAUAUAUUAUGCAAGCAGCGCGCUGCUGAACAACAGUGUUGCAAAAUGUUUUAAUUAGCCAACCCAAGGCAGCAGCCCGCUAAAAAGUGGGCGUGUGCAGCUGAUGCAGCUCCCACGCCCCCUGCGCGUUCCAUCCGCAUGGCUGCGGAAGCGGCGGGUUUUUCCAUUUUAGUGCACGGUCACGCAGCGGAAGUUGGCGAUGGAAGGUGAAUGAAAUGAAAAUGCAACGUGCUAAGUGGCGAGAGAUGCGAAAAAGCCGACGUGACAGCACGACGAACAAUCUGAUAAACACGCAAAAAAAAAAAAAAAGGUAAAGGUCGCCAAAGUCCAUGAACACUUUACAUAACCAAGCACAGUAGCUUAACCUGCUACAAAUUUAAAAGGGAAUUUUUGAAGUUAUCGAUGGAAUUUUCAUUUGCAUAGAAAAAACUUUUGCUUAAAGUUCUUUUAGCUUAGUAGAGCAUUAUCCAAGCCAUGCUACAUCAUUUAUAGGGUAUCUAUAGUCAAUCAAAGGGUGUUUGGUGACUUGUUUGUAUAGUUAAUACUUGACUGAUUACAGAAAUGAAGGAAACACAUGUGCAAAUAUAAAUAAGAAGCCUAUAUUGCGUAAGCUAAGUAUACAGGUUAAUAAAAAAAAGAUUAUAGUAUCUUCUAAGUAAAUGAAAA